rnacentral:rRNA from 1 species
UACGUAGGGUGCAAGCGUUGUCCGGAUUUAUUGGGCGUAAAGAGCGUGUAGGCGGUUUGGUAGGUCCGCUGUGAAAACUCGAGGCUCAACCUCGAGACGCCGGUGGAAACCAUCAGACUAGAGUCCGGAAGAGGAGAGUGGAAUUCCUGGUGUAGCGGUGAAAUGCGCAGAUAUCAGGAAGAACACCCGUGGCGAAGGCGGCUCUCUGGUACGUGACUGACGCUGAGACGCGAAAGCGUGGGGAGCGAACAGG